GCUCGUUUGCAGUGGCCUCACAAGUGCGUUUGCUAAGCGUGGAUUGGGCACCGCGACGGCCGUUGCCAUACGCAGCUCGCGAUGCUAAGAAUGUCGUUGUCCAUACGCUUUCGGAGCCCCCUUGUCCGAGCUGUGCUUGAAAACGGUUCCAUCGGCACUGCGUUCUGGAGGAGGAAGAAUGACUAUUCACACAGCGGACGUGGCCCUCAGGGUGGCUCCACGUGUACUGUCAACCCUUUCGGCCAAGCCAGCAAUUGCUAGCUGCUUUCUCUUAAUGGGAGUUUUAAUAAGCUUUUCUCACACUGACUGUGAGUGCGCUGGCAGGAGCCUUUUGAUGGAAGAAAUUCUUCAAAGAGCUA